ACAUCAUUGGCUCAGUUGUUAGAGCGUCGGCUUUAGACACCAGCAGACUUCGGUUCGAAUCCCAGGGGUGGG
rnacentral:tRNA from 1 species